UACGUAGGGAGCAAGCGUUGUCCGGAAUCAUUGGGCGUAAAGCGCGCGUAGGUGGCCUCGUAAGUCCGCUGUGAAAGUCAAAGGCUCAACCUUUGAAAGCCGGUGGAUACUGUGGGGCUAGAGUACGGAAGGGGCGAGUGGAGUUCCUGGUGUAGCGGUGAAAUGCGCAGAUAUCAGGAGGAACACCAAUGGCGAAGGCAGCUCGCUGGGACGUGACUGACGCUGAGACGCGAAAGCGUGGGGAGCAAACAGG
rnacentral:rRNA from 1 species